UACGAAGGGGGCUAGCGUUGUUCGGAAUUACUGGGCGUAAAGCGCACGUAGGCGGAUAUUUAAGUCAGGGGUGAAAUCCCGGGGCUCAACCCCGGAACUGCCUUUGAUACUGGGUAUCUCGAGUCCGAGAGAGGUGAGUGGAAUUCCGAGUGUAGAGGUGAAAUUCGUAGAUAUUCGGAGGAACACCAGUGGCGAAGGCGGCUCACUGGCUCGGUACUGACGCUGAGGCACGAAAGCGUGGGGAGCAAACAGG
rnacentral:rRNA from 1 species